CUCGGCCACUAAGUUGCUGUCGGGGAGCACAAAGUGCCUCCUUUGAGCACCCGUUGCAGAGACGAGGAGGACCUCAAGUUCUAUCCAUUCGUCGCUGAUACGUGGAUUAUUUUGUGCGUUGUAUACUCUGUAAAAGUUUGGUAUUUGCAGCACCAUAUGGUGGAUCAUAGCAGGUCAGGCACAUCUUAUAACUAGGUCACUUCCACUGGAUCUUUCUGUUAACAAGCAGCUAGACCCAAGGUACUAAUGUCCAAUCGCUCGAUCAUUUUGAUAUUUAGUCUCUCAAGAGUUCUUUUCAUAGUUUAUUAUUCUUCAAGUUCCACUUUCAUUUUACUCAGUCAUGUCCAAAUGCUUUUUCUAUAAAUCAUUCUAAA